rnacentral:rRNA from 1 species
GAUACCCUAUUAUACUAAAAGUCAAUUUAUACUACCUGAUUAUUUAUAGAUAUUAGCUUAAAAUUCAAAGAAUUUGGCGGUGGUUUAGUCUUGUCAGAGGAACCUGUUUAUUAAAUCGAUAAUCCACGUAAAAUUUGACCUACUCUUGUUAUCAGCUUGUAUACCGUCAUUAUCAGACGAUUUUUAGAGAAUAAUCGUUAAUUUUAACAACUAGUUAGUAAAAUUAGAUCAAGGUGCAGCUGAUGAGUAGGCUAGAAUGGGUUACAAUAAAACUUAUUUAUAACGGACAAGAAAAAAGUGAAAUAAGCUUGAGGAAGGAGGAUUUGAUUGUAGCUUAAGUUUAAUAAGCUUAAGAGAUAUAAGCUCUAAACAUGUUACAU